rnacentral:rRNA from 1 species
UCCUGGCUCAGGACGAACGCUGGCGGCGUGCUUAACACAUGCAAGUCGAACGGAGCGCUCAUGAAAGAGUUUUCGGACAAUGGAUUGAGUUGCUUAGUGGCGGACUGGUGAGUAACGCGUGAGGAACCUGCCUUCCAGAGGGGGACAACAGUUGGAAACGACUGCUAAUACCGCAUGACGCAUGACUGUGGCAUCACAGACAUGUCAAAGAUUUAUCGCUGGAAGAUGGCCUCGCGUCUGAUUAGCUAGUUGGUGAGGUAACGGCCCACCAAGGCGACGAUCAGUAGCCGGACUGAGAGGUUAGCCGGCCACAUUGGGACUGAGAUACGGCCCAGACUCCUACGGGAGGCAGCAGUGGGGAAUAUUGGGCAAUGGACGCAAGUCUGACCCAGCGACGCCGCGUGAAGGAAGAAGGCUUUCGGGUUGUAAACUUCUUUUAAGGGGGAAGAGCAGAAGACGGUACCCCUUGAAUAAGCCACGGCUAACUACGUG